AUUCCAGCUCCAAUAGCGUAUAUUAAAGUUGUUGCAGUUAAAAAGCUCGUAGUUGGAUUUCGGAACCGGCCGAUUGGUCCGUCCUCUGGAUCGUGCACUGAUCGGUCUGUUCUUCUUCGCGAAGACCGCGUGUGCCCUUAACUGGGUGGGCGCGGGAUUCGCGACGUUUACUUUGAAAAAAUUAGAGUGUUCAAAGCAGGCAGUCGCUUGAAUAUCUCAGCAUGGAAUAAUAGAAUAGGACUUUGGUCUUAUUUUGUUGGUUUCCGAGACCGAAGUAAUGAUUAAUAGGGACAGUUGGGGGCAUUCGUAUUUCAUUGUCAGAGGUGAAAUUCUUGGAUUUAUGAAAGAGGAACUUCUGCGAAAGCAUUUGCCAAGGAUGUUUUCAUCA
rnacentral:rRNA from 1 species